GUCCAUUCGGGGAUAUUCAAUAAAAUUGGAACGAUACAGAGAAGAUUAGCAUGACCCAUGCGCAAGAAUGACACACAUAAAUCGAGAAAUGGCCUUAAGAAAA